rnacentral:rRNA from 1 species
AGUCGAGCGCGGGAAGCAGAUGGAAUCCUUCGGGAGGAAAUCUGUGGAACGAGCGGCGGACGGGUGAGUAACACGUGGGUAACCUGCCUGUAAGACUGGGAUAACUCGCGGAAACGUGAGCUAAUACCGGAUGAAACUUCUUAUCACCUGAUGAGAAGAUGAAAGGCGGCUUCGGCUGCCACUUACAGAUGGACCCGCGGCGCAUUAGCUAGUUGGUGAGAUAAUGGCUCACCAAGGCGACGAUGCGUAGCCGACCUGAGAGGGUGAUCGGCCACACUGGGACUGAGACACGGCCCAGACUCCUACGGGAGGCAGCAGUAGGGAAUCUUCCGCAAUGGACGAAAGUCUGACGGAGCAACGCCGCGUGAGUGAUGAAGGUUUUCGGAUCGUAAAACUCUGUUGUUAGGGAAGAACAAGUACCGUUCGAAUAGGGCGGUACCUUGACGGUACUUAACCAGAAAGCCCCGGCUAACUACGUGCCAGCAGCCGCGGUAAUACGUAGGGGGCAAGCGUUGUCCGGAAUUAUUGGGCGUAAAGCGCUCGCAGGCGGCCUUUUAAGUCUGAUGUGAAAGCCCACGGCUCAACCGUGGAGGGUCAUUGGAAACUGAAGGGCUUGAGUACAGAAGAGGAGAGUGGAAUUCCACGUGUAGCGGUGAAAUGCGUAGAUAUGUGGAGGAACACCAGUGGCGAAGGCGACUCUCUGGUCUGUAACUGACGCUGAGGAGCGAAAGCGUGGGGAGCGAACAGGAUUAGAUACCCUGGUAGUCCACGCCGUAAACGAUGAGUGCUAGGUGUUAAGGGGUUUCCGCCCCUUAGUGCUGAAGUUAACGCAUUAAGCACUCCGCCUGGGGAGUACGGCCGC